rnacentral:piRNA from 1 species
AGGAUGUGUACGUUGAUCUAGCAAUU